GAUUGCAGGCUGCAACCCGCCUGCAUGAAGUCGGAAUCGCUAGUAAUCGCGGAUCAGCAUGCCGCGGUGAAUACGUUCCCGGGCCUUGUACACACCGCCCGUCACACCAUGGGAGCCGGUAAUACCCGAAGUCAGUAGUCCAACCUCGUGAGGACGCUGCCGAAGGUAGGAUUGGCGACUGGGGUGAAGUCGUAACAAGGUAAC
rnacentral:rRNA from 1 species